AGGAUUGUGCAGAGACAACUCAAUCUUACAAGCAGGACAACUUAGACUUUGAACAUCUAGAAAUGGGUGGUGAUUCUUUCUCUAUCCCGUUUAUUACAAGGGGUCAAGACUAUAGUUUCAGCUAUGGAUCACCUGUAACUGGUGAAGGUCAAGAGGAGCAAUCCCCUACAUUUACAUCAUUUUCUUCAUUGCUAGCCGACAACGAUACUCCAUGCUCUGCAUCAGGAGGUUUCUCUUUUAGCAACUGUGAUGAAUCCGGUGCAACAGAGUUCCCAACCACAAUCCCAUCAAUGUUAAGCUUUACCUUCUUCGGUCCAAAUUCUGCACUUGAGAAAGGAGAGGUUGCCUUUGGAUUUAACCCCAUUGAGUCAAAUAUGGAUUCAAUUCAUGGAGAGUCCACCACAGAAAAGCCAUUUGUAUUGCCAGACACAUCUUCUGUGAAACGUGGAGUAGGAGAAAUAAUGCAAAGGUCGGAAUUUCGACGAGAAGGAAUCAAUGGGUCAAGGGUUUCCAGCAUCCACAGCAGAAGGAAUCACACCAUUGGACUUGGCGAGCUUGAUCAACUUAAUAUCAUAGUCACUGAGUCAAUCAUCCGCUGGGCAUCAUGUACACAAAUCCCAACUGCCCCAUCACUUAGAUU
rnacentral:misc_RNA from 1 species